UUACACCUAACUGGCUACAAGCCAUUUUCAAGACGUUAUGAAAUUGGAGACUCAGAACAGUCCAAUACUUUGCCUUAUAUUAGACAGCUAGUAACAGAUUUUCUGCUAGACUAAUGCACCUCUCACUAACUUUAUUUUAUUUUAUUUUAUCAUUUUAUUUUUUGAGACAGAGUCUUGCUGUGUUGCCCAGGCUGGAGUGCGGUGGCACAAUCUCAGCUCACUGCAAGCUCUGCCUCCCGGGUUCAUGCCAUUCUCCUGCCUCAGCCUCCCAAGUAGCUGGGACUACAGGCACCCGACAGGUGUGAGCCACUGCACCCAGCCUCAUUAUCUUUAAUUACCUAUAUUACCCAAUCCAUUAUCUUUAUAAGAAGAACAGAAUAUAACUCAAUAGCAAAAUCAAACAGAGUUCACAUUUGAUGCAGGGGAAAGGAGUGGGUGCUUUGGAAUUUUGAGACAAAUGAGACUUCAGGAAGUAAGUCAGUCUUUUCUCUCAUCUUUAGAUAGAUCACACAGACUGAAUAGAUCUUGCGUUCAAUCACUCUUACGGACUGAUUCUAUAAUCUUUUUCAUCACUGACUCUAAUUUUUUGUCAUACUAUAGAAUAGUCUGUUCUUACAAGUUACUGGAAA
rnacentral:lncRNA from 1 species